rnacentral:rRNA from 1 species
AGUGAACGCUGGCGGUAGGCCUAACACAUGCAAGUCGAACGGCAGCACAGUAAGAGCUUGCUCUUACGGGUGGCGAGUGGCGGACGGGUGAGGAAUACAUCGGAAUCUACUUUUUCGUGGGGGAUAACGUAGGGAAACUUACGCUAAUACCGCAUACGACCUACGGGUGAAAGCAGGGGAUCUUCGGACCUUGCGCGAUUGAAUGAGCCGAUGUCGGAUUAGCUAGUUGGCGGGGUAAAGGCGCACCAAGGCGACAAUCGGUAGCUGGUCUGAGAGGAUGAUCAGCCACAUUGGAACUGAGAAACGGUCCAGACUCUUACGGGAGGCAGCAGUGGGGAAUAUUGGACGAUGGGCGCAAGCCUGAUCCAGCCAUACCGCGUGGGUGAAGAAGGCCUUCGGGUUGUAAAGCCAUUUUGUUGGGAAAGAAAAGCAGCAGGUUAAUCCCCCGCUGUUCUGACGGUACCCAAAGAAUAAGCACCGGCUAACUUCGUG